AUUGAACGCUGGCGGCAGGCCUAACACAUGCAAGUCGAGCGGAUGAAGGGAGCUUGCUCCUGGAUUCAGCGGCGGACGGGUGAGUAAUGCCUAGGAAUCUGCCUGGUAGUGGGGGAUAACGUCCGGAAACGGGCGCUAAUACCGCAUACGUCCUGAGGGAGAAAGUGGGGGAUCUUCGGACCUCACGCUAUCAGAUGAGCCUAGGUCGGAUUAGCUAGUUGGUGGGGUAAAGGCCUACCAAGGCGACGAUCCGUAACUGGUCUGAGAGGAUGAUCAGUCACACGGGAACUGGGACACGGUCCAGACUCCUACGGGAGGCAGCAGUGGGGAAUAUUGGACAAUGGGCGAAAGCCUGAUCCAGCCAUGCCGCGUGUGUGAAGAAGGUCUUCGGAUUGUAAAGCACUUUAAGUUGGGAGGAAGGGCAGUAAGUUAAUACCUUGCUGUUUUGACGUUACCAACAGAAUAGGCACCGGCUAACUUCGUG
rnacentral:rRNA from 1 species